rnacentral:rRNA from 1 species
GUCCACGCUGUAAACGAUGAAGACUAGAUGUUGUAUGGGGAACCAUUCGGUAUCGAAGCUAACGCGAUAAGUCUUCCGCCUGGGAAGUACGGCCGCAAGGUUGAAACUCAAAGAAAUUGACGGGGGCCCCGCACAAGCGGUGGAGCAUGUGGUUUAAUUCGAUGCAACGCGAAGAACCUUACCUACUUUUGACAUCCUGCGAAUCUGGUUGAGAGACUGGAGUGCCGAAAGGAGCGCAGAGACAGGUGCUGCAUGGCUGUCGU